UACAGAGGUCUCAAGCGUUGUUCGGAUUCAUUGGGCGUAAAGGGUGCGUAGGCGGCGCGGUAAGUCGGGUGUGAAAUCUCGGAGCUUAACUCCGAAACUGCAUUCGAUACUGCCGUGCUUGAGGACUGGAGAGGAGACUGGAAUUCCCGGUGUAGCGGUGAAAUGCGCAGAUAUCGGGAAGAACACCCGUGGCGAAGGCGGUUCUCUGGGACGGUACUGACGCUGAGACGCGAAAGCGUGGGGAGCGAACAGG
rnacentral:rRNA from 1 species